rnacentral:ncRNA from 19 species
UAACCAUUGAUGGAAUUCUAUUGAGUACCCCUAGCUUUUGAAAAGGAAUUCGUGAGCAUGGCCGUUUAGGAUCUCUUUAUUUUUUUGUUUUGCUAUAGUUCAUUUUUCAAAUCGUCAUUAUUUUUUCUUUUUUUUUUCUUUUGACUCUCCUUUUGCUUGAAGAAAUCUGAGGACAUUGUAUAUCCAAUUAGGUGAUACAUUUAUUCAUUUUAACUUUGAAGCAAUCUGUCUUACUAUUAACAUGUUUAUAUUUUGCAUUAGCCGGAUAAAAUACUUCGAUGACAUGGUAGAGAGGAUGAAUGAUCUCGAGUCGGGGAACGUAUUUACUUAGGUCGGGAUGCGAGAGGAAAGAUAAAGAUUUUAUGGAGAUUUAAGAGAUAAGGUGAGUGGGGUCUUUUUUUCCGCUUGGCUGUAUAGCGUGAUUGAGUUUUUCAGUCGUGUCUAUGUUCAAGUUCAUGAUAUUCUGUGGUUGAUUUUGUUAAUUUCACACGUUUCACUACCAUACAGUGUGUUGACAGAAACUCCGCGUUAAGGUUUAUUAUAGGAAAUUUUUCGACUCCUCUUUUCCUAUUUUUUAUUGUCUUUUGUGACGUUUUUAUUUUUUUUCUUAUUAUCCUCCUCCUUUCUAAGUAUUUCUUUUACUUGGGUUUUCAUUUGUGCUUUUAAUUUAUGUUGUUGAGGUAUUUUGCGCUUUUGCAUGGAUGGACAUGGGUGAGACUUUAUUAUUUCAAACUUGGUGAAUAUGUGCUGCCUUGUUGGUUGCAAUGUGUGAUGUUUAUUCAUGUAGGGGAGUGGAGGAGGAAUGGAAAAUAGGAAAGAGUUGGUGGUGGGGAGUUUGAAUGGAACAAAAAAAUAUUGGGUCUGGCCAUGUAAAUGUGUUUUAUUAUUAGGAGUUGGAGGCAUUCGAUGGUUUACAGAAGUCAUAGAAAUAAAUAUCCCGUCUAAUCGCUCAUCUAUUAAAAUUAAUAGUAGAAUGCAGUUUCAUAUCCGGGAGAAAUUC